UACGGAGGGUGCAAGCGUUAUCCGGAUUCACUGGGUUUAAAGGGUGCGUAGGUGGGUUGAUAAGUCAGUGGUGAAAUCCCCGAGCUUAACUUGGGAACUGCCAUUGAUACUAUUGAUCUUGAAUACCGUGGAGGUCAGCGGAAUAUGUCAUGUAGCGGUGAAAUGCUUAGAUAUGACAUAGAACACCAAUUGCGAAGGCAGCUGGCUACGCGAAUAUUGACACUGAUGCACGAAGCGUGGGGAUCAAACAGG
rnacentral:rRNA from 1 species